UACAUGGGGUGCAAACGUUGCUCGGAAUUAUUGGGCGUAAAGCGCACGUAGGCGGUCCGUUAAGUCGGAUGUGAAAGCCCCCGGCUCAACCGGGGAAGUGCAUCCGAAACUGGCAGGCUAGAGUACGAAAGAGGGUCGCGGAAUUCCCGGUGUAGAGGUGAAAUGCGUAGAGAUCUGGAGGAACACCGAUGGCGAAGGCAGCCUUCUGGGCCAACACUGACGCUCAUGCACGAAAGCGUGGGGAGCAAACAGG
rnacentral:rRNA from 1 species